rnacentral:rRNA from 1 species
GUCAAAGCGUAACCUAAACCCCCCCAAAAUACCAUUAAUUUUCAUGAACCCCUAAUUUAUAAUGAAUGACUCCAUAUUUAUAUGGAAGACACCAUGCUAGGAUUAGUAACAAGAAUUUAUAAUUCUCCAAAAUGCAAAUAUAAACCAACAUGGAUAGACCAUUGGUAGUUACCGAACCUAAAUUUACUGCAAUAACACCCACAAGAAAACUCUGCAGUACUUACUCGUUAACCUAACACCAGCGCAUUACAGGAAAGAUUAAAAAAAAGAGAAGGAAUUCGGCAAAUGACGGCCCCGCCUGUUUACCAAAAACAUCGCCUCUUGACUUAUAAUAAGAGGUCCAGCCUGCCCAGUGAAUUUUAAACGGCCGCGGUAUCCUAACCGCGCGAAGGUAGCAUAAUCACUUGUUCUUUAAAUGGGGACUCGUAUCAACGGCAUCACGAGGGUUUUACUGUCUCCUCUUUUUGAUCAGUGAAAUUGAUCUUCCCGUGAAGAAGCGGGGAUAUUUUUAUAAGACGAGAAGACCCCAUGGAGCUUUAAACCAAAUAACAACUUAACUACUUAUCCCACAAUAAAUUUAAGCCCUGUUAUAAGGUUUUUGGUUGGGGUGACCGCGGAGUAAAGCACAUCCUCCACGACGGAAAGAACAUAAUCUUUAUUUAAGAACCACACUUCUAGAAAUUAGUAUACUAACGUUUACUGACCCGACAAUCGAUCAACGGACCAAGUUACCCUGGGGAUAACAGCGCAAUCUACUUCAAGAGCUCAUAUCGACAAGUAGGCUUACGACCUCGAUGUUGGAUCAGGGUAUCCCGGUGGUGCAGCCGCUACCGAAGGUUCGUUUGUUCAACGAUUAAAACCCUAC